rnacentral:rRNA from 1 species
GUUUGAUCCUGGCUCAGAACGAACGUUAGCGGCGCGCUUAACACAUGCAAGUCGUGCGAGAAAAGGGGAGCAAUCCCCGGUAAAGCGGCGCACGGGUGAGUAACACGUAGGUAACGUGCCCCCAGGUGGUGGAUAACCUUCCGAAAGGAGGGCUAAUACAGCAUAAGACCACGGCUCCGAAAGGGGCUGAGGUCAAAGUCGGCCUCUAUUCAUAAGCUGACGCCAGGGGAUCGGCCUGCGGCCCAUCAGGUAGUUGGUAGGGUAACGGCCUACCAAGCCAAAGACGGGUAGCUGGUCUGAGAGGAUGAUCAGCCACACUGGAACUGAGACACGGUCCAGACUCCUACGGGAGGCAGCAGUGGGGAAUCUUGCGCAAUGGGCGAAAGCCUGACGCAGCGACGCCGCGUGGGUGAUGAAGGCCU